GGCAGAGGUUGCAGUGAGCUGAAAUUGUGCCAUUGCACUUCAGCCUGGGCGACCAGGGUGAAACUCUAUCUCAAAAAAAAGAAAAAAAAAAGAAUUAUUACAGUUUGUCUCAGAGAUGUUUUGCAGGACAACCCGUGUAGAUGGACACCUGCACCCUCCUGGCACCCUCUGAAAGAGCCCUGCCCCUCCCUCUGCCCUGUCCAAUCUUCCUUCCCUUUUCCCACUUGCCCAACCCCAGUUGAUGUCUGUUAAGAUGCAGCCCUGGCUAUUUUUGGAGGAAAGGCAAAGAACAUUUAUCAAACUCUUUACAUGUGCCAGACAUGGUCCCAGAGCUUUAGAUACAUUUUUUCAUUGAGAGGUUAUAGCACCCCUCCACACCAAGAGGUGUGGUAUUAUUUUAUCUUUCCCAUUUUACAGAUGAGCAAACUGAGACUUGAGGAGUGGAUAGUGACUUGUUGACCAGUGGCCUGGCUGCAUGAUCCAGGCACAGUUGGAUCUAGGCCUGGCUGCAUGACCGCAGGCACAGCUGUUGGAGGUUGAAGCAGCUGGCAGCAGACAGGCCAGAGGGUAUUUGUGUGUGUGUGCGCAGGUGCACACAUAUGUGGAUGUGCACUCCUGUGUAUACACGCAUGGGGCAGGGCUGGGGUUGGAGGUGCUGCAGGAACAGGUGUUGGGGCUGAGUGUGGAGCUCUCGGGAGGUGGCACUGAGGAGUCGGGCAGUUGUCCUGCACGUGGCAAUUUUCUGUAGGAAAGUGUGUGGUCAGGAAUGUAUUCUGGAAGCCUUUCCUGGAGAGGAGUUUGGAGGAUGGCUUUUGGGAUGGAGGAGUAGAGGGGUGGACCAGAGGAAGGAUCCCAGAGGUUGACACUAACUCCUCAGGAAAAUCCCUGCCUCUUCUACUAUCGAGACUGAUGUAUGUUUCUGAUUCUGCUAACCAACUGGACACGUGUUUUUGAUGAUACAACAUGAAGCAGAAAUGGGAAGAUGAUCUGAAAUUACUUCUUAAAUCAGAUGACUGGGAUGAAUUCGGAAGAGAGCCAAGGAACAUGGGAUUUUGCUUUUCCUAAGAGUGAUCUCACUUAUGGUGGUUGAGGGGGUGAUCUGUACCCCUGCACAUGUGGAUGGAGUCUAAAGAGGAGCAGAGGACAAUUGUCCCAGCUAAUACCACCCCAAGUCUUUCUCCAUUAGUGAGUGACCUGUAAUGACCCUGCAGGAGGGGACAUGUCGUGGCUGGACUCAAAGCUGUGUUCUGCUGACCAGGCAUGGAAGACCCUGGCCUUGCCCUGGUUUUAAAAUAGAGCUAUAAGAGUUUACAAAGGGAGAAUGAUACUCCAGCUUUUUAUCAGUCUACAGGGGGUUCUGUCCACUCAAAGUCUUGGAUGGGGCAUACUUUAGUGUGAGCCUCUAAAAUUUUCCUUAUAGGGGAUCAAACUGUAUCAGUGUAUAUUUUAUUUGUCUUGUGUGCGUAAGAGAAAGCCCAGCAUAGUGUAAGUUCAGAUGCUUCUUAAUAGAAAGGCCCAAGGAAGGUGGAGCUUCAGUAUUUUACUGACAAUGUAUUGGAGAUGAUUGUAGGGUCCAGGAAGGACUUUACAGAGACUCAUAGAUUUUUCGGGCAGCCAUUCCUUAAAUUCACAAAGCAUGAAAAUUGCCUAGAUCUGGGAACCUAAGAAUAGAUGUAUUAGACCUCUUUGCAGGAAACAGAAACCACUCUAGGUGUGUUAAACAGAAAAGGCUUUAAUACAGGGAAUGGAAGACCUAAAGAAACAGGCUUUAAACUGGGCUUCUGGAAUCAUUCCUGUAAGAAUAUAGAACUGGACAUUGGGAGAGCUGUAACCUCUGAGGCUGCUCCUAGGGCUGACCUGAAAGCAAGAAGCUGCUGCUGCGUCUGCUUCUGAUGGAAAAGGAGCACUCAAAACUGCCAUCUGGGGAUUAGGAAGCCAGACCAAGACACCCAGGAACUGGAGGAUGGACCCUGGGCUGUCAUUGCUGGAAAGCCCUAUGUCUCUGUGCCUACGCUGUGGCAGCAGCGGUCAGGUACUGCAGGAAGAGGGCACCCACCUCACUACUGCCUUUUAAAGGUAUCUGUUUGGUGCAGGCUAACUUUUAUCCAGACCCCUGGAUGCACGGAAGCUUUGAAAAUGCCUUCUAACUCUUCCAUCUGACAGAGGAGAGGGCAAAUGGGCCUUUCCAGAGAGCCCAGCAGAGGAGGUGACACCAACAGGUGCUGGAUGGCUAAAGUCAAUUUGUGCAAAAUUAAUUCUUCAAGAAAUGUUUGAGUCAGAAACACAUCACACUUCGGGUGGGUAAAUUGUGGAAAGCAGCCAUUUCUCCCAGUUUCAACGUGUGACACUAGCUCCUUCUGUUUCAGCUCUAUGGUACUUUGGUUUGCGGCCUAGAACAAGCCUCAGUUGCCACAGUUGUGAAAGGAGACGUGACAAGCUUGAAGGGGUGAUUUCUCUUUUAGCUCACAGUUUGGUCUUGAGCUGGGCAUGUCUUAUAAGCACUUCUGUGAAAAGCAAUUCUUUGUUCUUGGGUUUGCCAAAUUUUAGGCACACUUCACUGGGUGAUUUUCUAAGAGCUCGUGGAGAUCAAAGUGAAUUAGGAGGAAGAAAAACUUGUGGAAAGGUUGGGGAAGCACUAGAACAGUGGGCUAUUGCACAAACAGCAGUGUCUGGUAUGAGGCUGGCAUCAUAGUUUCCAGGCUCUGUUCUGUUUGCUAUCUCCAGCAAGCCUCCUUUUGCAGAUGAGAAAACUGAGGUCGGGCAGCUUUGUGACUUUGGGGAUGAUGUUUUAGAGACCCCAUGACAAUGGUAGGGCUGGGAUACAGACGCAUGUGUCCCAGUGCUCUGGCCCCAUGACGUGUGAACUCCACCCACCAUCAUAAAGGGCACUGUCUAUUUGGAAGUCCCCCGGUCCCUAGCUGGGCUCCUGGGAUGAAGAGGAGGAUAGGGAGGGACAUGGCGGGUGUAAGCUAGGGUCCUGUUCUGCCUGCUACCCUGGGCUGCAGGGAAAUGCUGGUAAAUGUUUAACAACUGACACCCUUCCCCACCAAAAAUAAAAAGCCCCAAGUUAUAGCAUUUUCCCACGUCUGUGGUGUUAAUUCUCUCCCAUCCCGAUUCUGAACUACCAAUGAGAGACUGAUAAGUGCACAUCUGGAAAGAGAUGCUCCCACUCAGCAAUAAUGAUGCUGUGGGGUGGGCACCCUGAUGUUGGUGUUCUGCUACUACACCUGUUGGCCAAACCCCCCAAUGUUUGUGAGAGAGCUAGGGCAGAGUGGCUGAUGGCUGGAGGAUUACGGAGACUAAGGGGACACAGGCUGCUUGGUGAGGGGGCUGCCCCGAAGGCAGUGAUGUCACUCUGAGGCAGGAGAGGGCUGAGGCUGCAUGUGCUGACCGGUCCCCCGAGGAAGGGCUUUAGAGGCUAUCCUGGCAAGGAGCGCUAACGACCUCCCACCCAUUGCCAGGGACCUCAGUGACCUGUCCAUUGUCACACAGCUAGCAGCCGCCGCAUUCUGAGCCUCCAGGUUCCGAGCUUGUGAACCAGCUCUCGUUCGCUCAGAGGCCUCAAGGGCGGGAUGCCUGGCAGCUCCCUUCCUACCAUGGGCCAGAGGCGGAGAAACAGGUGCUGACUGGAGCUGGGAAAUGACUCCUCCCUCGGCCCGGAUGGAGUGCUUCCCACUCCCGCACCCCACUGGAAUCCCACCCCCCUCCCUGAGACCCAGGAAGUUGCUGGAAGAAAGGAGGAGAGGACAGGAUGUCCAGGCAGGUGCAGGGAUGUCAGGGGAUGCCCCUGGAGUGUUGCAAUAGCCUCCUGGGAGUACUUUCUAAAAGCAUGGCUGAGCCAGGCCGGCAUGGGCUUGUGGGAGUAGGUGAUUCCGGGUCUCCUGCCUCCAGGGCCUGUCAUGAGGACUCCACAGAAAGUGACUCCACAACAGUGGGACUCAAUGAGCACCUUUGGGAACUUAUCCCCACCUCACCUUUAACAUUAAAAAAAAAAAUCACAUCAAAACAGAGUGGCAAACUGGUAAAAAGUACAGAUACUGGAGCCCCACUGCCUGCACCCAGGCUGCAGGAAUUUCUAGCAGUGUGAUACUCAGGACACUAGGCAACUUGCUUCUCUCCCCCACCUCAGUUUCCCCAUCUGUAAGAUGCUGAUGAUGGCGGCUGACAGUGCCCAUCUUGUAAGGUUGCCA
rnacentral:lncRNA from 1 species